CUCUCCUUGAUCCAAUUGGUCAUAAAUCCAAGAUGGAAAAUAUAUUUGACUAGUGUGGUCAGCAAAUGCAUUCACAUUCUUUCUCCUUCCAACUAUUUCCAUCAAUAACAUUCCAAAACUAUAAACAUCGGCUUUGUAUGAGAUGCCUCCAAGAUUUUUGUAAACCAAUUCAGGAGCAAUAUAUCCUAUUGUUCCUCGUGCUGUAGUGAGAGAGACAAUGCUAUCAUCUACUGAAUACAAUUUAGCAAGGCCAAAAUCGGAAACUUUUGGAUUAAAAUUCUCAUCAAGAAGAAUAUUGUGUGGCUUGAUAUCAAAAUGUAAGAUUUGCAUGUCACAUCCUUGAUGCAAGUAGUGAAUUCCUUGAGCCACCCCAAGUACAAUAUCAAACAUUUUUUUCCAGCCCAAAGUGUUCUUAUUUUCUUCUGUAAAUAUGAUUUUAUCUAAAGAUCCAUUAGACAUGAAGUCAUAUACCAGAGCUUGCUUUGAUCCCUCCACACAAAAUCCAAUAAGUUUUGCCACAUUAGCAUGAUGAAUUCUCCCAAUAGAAGCAAAUUCAUUUAUAAAAUCUUGGCCAUUACCCUUUGACUUGCCCAACAAUUUUAUUGCCACAUGAUGGCCGCUACGAAGCUUUCCUUUAAACACUGAGCCAUAACCUCCUUCACCUAAUUUAUCUUUAAAAUUUUUAGUCAUUUUUUUAAUUUCUUUAAAAGAAUACCUUAUUGGCACCAGAUUAUUUUGGCUUUGAAGGAACUCUUCAAUCGUAUCAUCCAUGGAUAAAUGUCUUCUUCUCCAUUUGUACGUGACAAGAGCAAGCAAACAAAUGAUCCCAGGAAACGGCCUCAAAAAGAUAAUUCCACCUUUCAAGAAAUAUAAUGUAACACGUUGACAUUAAUCAAAUAAUAUAUAACUUACAUUCUCAGAAAAAAAGUAUAUAGUGUGAUAGUUUUAUGUUAACUAGUAUUUGAGAGAGUUGCAUAUUUCACUAGUCUAUGAACUUAACCGAGAGUAGUCUGAAUUAUAUGUUAUGUUUUUGUCAUUAGCAGGUAUAUCUCAACAAAUUAAAAUUCAGAAUUUCAAACACAAAAGGAGUAAAUCAUGCAAAGUGGAAACCAAUUAUUCUAACCUCACACAUUCCAAUAGAUCAGGGUCAUGACAUUCACCCAAAUUAACACAUUCGUAACCCCAUCCAAUUAGCAAAUUCUAAAGAAAGAACAGGAUCCUUAACCAUGAAGGAUACUCAACUGUUGUUCCUAUUCAUGCCAAAUAAACUUGAAGAAGGACAAAUUAAAAAUAUAAUAACCUUCAAAUUUCAUAAAUGAAACAAAAUCUAGAUCACAACCAAAAGAUGCAAGAGAACCCCCAAAAAACAGAUUUGAUAAAUUCAAGAGCUAACUUUGUUGAAUGUUUUAGCAAAAUUAAUAUCCACCAAACUUAUAACCUGUGAAAGUUCUAAACAAUACCAUUAUGAAAACAAACUUAGGUAAAACUCUAACAUCUUUCUUAACUUGACAAGAAAAUUUCUUUCAUAUAGAAGAAGAUUGUAUUCUGCAGUCAAAAUCCUUAAAGAGUGCCAUAGGUUUCUUAGUUUUGCAGUGAAAUUAAAUAUAAACUUGUAUAAUAUGAUAGGCUCCUUAUUCUUUUUUUUCCCCAGAUUAUAGCUAAUAUUUGUUCUCAACUAGUGCUAGAAAUUGAAUCGGUGCAAAUGCAAAUGUGCAAAUCUAAAAUUACAUAUACCUGUUAUUGCCAAACAGAGAAUAUAAGUUCCUGUUAAAAAACCACGAAUAAAAACGAAAUAUAGUUAUUUCAAGAGAGCAACGAAAUAGCAAAAUCAAAGCACUUCUAAUGAAUUUUGGGAAGCAUACUGCUUGGUCGAGACAAUGAAUCGUAGCCAUGGAAAAGGAAAUGUACAAAGCAGUCCAUAUAGUUUCUGAAGGCAUAUUUCAAGCUUGACAAUCUGAAUUAUAUAUUCAACAAAUCAAAGUAAAAUUAAUAAAGGGGUGUAAAGGAAAAUUCCAAAUUUGUGUAAAAAAAAGCAAUGGAAGGUAAUUUAAAACAUUAUAUUCUGUUUUGUGGUAUAUGCUCAAAAAAAUUACAACAAUUCUUUACAUAUUUUUGUUUGCAAAAAGUAUGCAACAUGUAUUACAGUAUAAGAGUUUUUAGGUAACAAAAACUAUUUAAUAUAAUGAAAGGUGAGAUAAAAUGAAUUAAUCCAAAAAGUAUAUAUUAUAGCAUUAAAAGAGUUUUUGCAAAAAAAUUAAACUCAUCCACAAUGGUGGAAUAGUUACGUACUAGUACUACCAACUAAAUUGAAAAUUCAUCAAAAAUUAAAAAUGAAAGUAAAAAGAGAGACAUUAUAUUUUAAGAAAGUUUGCUGAAUUUAGAAACAUUGUGGCUGUAAAAACAUAAUCAAAUAUAAUUGCCCAAAAAGAAGACAAAACAGCAGAGGCAGAUACUAAAUUAGAAAUGCUUUUUGUUUUUUUCUUCAUUUGAUUGUUAAAUUUUCAUAAAUUUUAGAUGCAAAAUAAUGAUACUUGAUUAGCAUCCUAAAAUUUAAUUGCGAAAAAAAGUAACAUAAAAUAAAAGAAUAAAAAAAGCAAAGGUAGACGCUGUAACUAAAAAUUCCAGUCUGAUGCACACUCAAAAUGCAAACUGAAAUUAUUAAAGAAACUUACAUGUCUUUAAACGAAACUUUGUUUUGAUAGUAGUAGCAACUCUGGUAAUCGCAUCUAUCCCAUUCGACCCAAAAACCCACUAAUAGUUUUUUGUAGAUAUCCAGCGUAGACAUGCCUAGUAUAUUAUCAAUCAUAAUUGGAACCUCGGCUUCGAUAGUGCAAGCUUGAUUGAUAUCAGACGGGCGGGUGUUUCCAUUUAAAAAAUAGAAAUGAGAAGUUGGAAGGGAAGAGGAGGUAUUGGAUUUGAUGGUACAACGAGAAGCCUCGAUAUAGAGUGAUGAUUUUAUAGGUUUCGUGCAAUUCAUAACAUAAAUAAUGUUAACCUCUAACCUUCCAUCAUAAUAAUAUUUAUUAUAAUAAUAAUUAUUAGAAGAAGAAGAAGAAAGGGAAAAAGAUAAUAGUUCAGGAUAAUGAAAAUAAUAAUAUACAGAACUAAGAGGAAGGGAGUUGCAAUCAUCCGUGUCCAAGCUCGCAUCAACCAUUCGUAUUGUAUAAUUUUCGUAAAAGAUUUGUUGGAUAGAAAAUUUCCCUUCUUUAUCGACCAAAAUGGUGCGAUUAUUGUUCUCACACUCAAAUUCAAAGCCAUAAUGACCACACUGGGGAGGUUGGUCUUUUAAUCGGAAUGGAAAACUGAUAUUCAAAUUCCCACAGAAAGUAGAGCCGCAGUCUUGGUUAAUAAGAUGCCUAGUAAAACAAACACCAGGAAAUAGAAUUACAAAAAAAGCAAAAGCGGGCAUUAGUUUUGCUUUUAAUUUUGGCAUGCUAAAAUUUUGGGUAAGGAAGAAGAACAAUAAUGGGGGUUAAUGAUUAAGUUUCCAACUAAAUCAGGGAAAUAUGUAAGAAAACUUCAGUGGGAGAAGAAGCAUUAAUGGGGACACAAGACUUUGACUAGUCUUCAGCUUUAUUUGGGAUGAAUAUUUUAUUUUCGAUCAAUUUUUUACACCUAUUUUUUUUAUUUUUUUUCUGGGAAACACCUCAGUCAAAGCACAUCUGAUUUCAAGAAGGUUAUGUCACCAAGUUAUUUGUCUAAUGCAUCUGUAUUGUUUAAGAGUUUAAUCUUUUCAUUUUAUGGUUGAUUUGAAUAUUUAUUUAAACUUAGAAAGGAAGGUUGAAAGUUAUUUCAGUAAUGCAUUUAAGAAUUUAAUUGAAUUAAUGUCAUCUGUUUCAAUUUAAUUGUGAAAUUAUAAAAAAAUUAUAAUUUGUGCAAAAUAACAAAUAUUAUUUUAAGAGUAUUUAGGAGCAAAGUUAGAAAUAUUUAUAGGACCGUGAUAUUUAUAUGAAGUAGACGUAUGAAUAAAGUGUUUUUAAAUUCGAGGUAGUUUUGAUCACCCAAAUCAAAAUUUAAAAAAAUAAAACAGGUUAAAUGCUCAAUCUAUAUUAGAUAUUGCAAUUAUUUAAGUUCAUUUUUUAUUAAAUUAAUAUUUCAAUACUACUUCAUUUUUAGAUAUGGUAAUCAUUUAACCUUUUUUUUACUAAAUUAAUAUUUAGAUGCUACUUUGUAUUAGUUUAUCAAAUUAAACUAAGAAUGUUACCAAAUAUAUUUUACCAAAUUAAUAUUUAGAUACUACUUUAUAUUACUUUAUAUUAGUUUAUUAAAGGGCCUAUUACGGGGAUCAUAUCCCCUUUGGGGUGCCUUAGAAGGUUUCCGACAACAUUUGCUUGUUCUGUCGGACCCUCGUGUAAAAUGGGACAUGAGUCCGUUGGGUGGUCUAACAUGGCACACAUUCCACAUAACCGUGCUGGGCUUGUUUUAUCUGUAAGUAAAUUUUGAACAACGCUAGUAAGCUUAUCACAUAACCGUGCUGGGCUUGUUUUAACUAUAAGCAAAUUUUGAGCAACGUUAGUAAGCUUUUCAAUUUUGUCUUCUAGAGAUAGAGAACUUAACCUAUGAUCCCGUCUCGUAAGUUCUAUAGCCAGUCGAAAUUGUUGAGUAUUUGUAGCCAUGGUUGAAAUCAACUCACUCACUCUCUGGGGCGUCAUAUUAACAAGUGCCCCUCCACUAGCAGCAUCUAUCAUUUUCAUUUUCAUCGGGAGUAAUCCCUAAUAGAAAUAUUACAAGAGUGAAUGUUCAAUCAGUCCAUGUUGUGGGCAACUUGCACACAACUUUUUAUAUCGCUCCCAGUAAUAAUAGAACGAUUCAGUCUCCUUUUACCGAAUUCUUAUGAUAUCCCUCCUUAAUUCAACUACUCCAACUGCUAGAAAGAACCUGUCAAGAUAUAAACGAGACAUGUCAGACCAUGUAUUGACAAAACUUAGAGGUAAAUAAAAUAGUCAUUCUCUAGCAGAAUCUGCUAAAGAGAAAGCAAAAACACAAAGUUUAAUCUGAUCAUCGAUUACUCCCUGAGGUUUCAUGCUUGUGCAAACCAUAUGAAAUUCCUUGAGAUGGGUAUGUGGAUUCUCAUUUGUAAUCCACAGAAGGUAAGCAAUAGAUAAAUCAGGUCUGAUUUUAACUCAAACGGUGUUCCUUCCGCCGUAUAAGUUAUAGAUGGGGGAGGUUGUUCAUCUAGGAUUGCUACGAGUUGGCAUAUAGUUUGCUCUACCAUAUCGUCUAGUUCGUCGAAUGAAAGAAUGUCCUCAAUGUAAAAUCCUAUUUCAAACCGGGGUUAUGGUCGUUUAUUGCAUCGAGUGGCUUCUCUUCGCAGUUUUUGAGCCAAAUUCUCUAUUUCUGGUUCAAAUUCUAGAGACCCCGGUUCUGACACGGUCAUAAGGAAAACAAACAAAAAUUUAAAAAAAUAAUUUCAAUCCCCGACAACGGCGCUAAAAUUUGAUGGGUGUCAAAACCACUAAAUAAAUUAAUUCCUACAAUAAAAUAACUCUAAACAGUAGUAAAGAGUAGUAAGGUCGAUUCCACAGGGAUUGGUGAUUAUGAUCAACUUUUGUGUUUUUCUUAUAAACAGAAUUUAUGUCGCCCCGAUAAUCGUGGCAAUAGACAUGCCCACGACUCCAAACGACCUGCUGGAAAAAAAAAGAAAUUAGGGGAGUUUCGAAAUGUUUAGAAAUUAAAUAAUUGAGACAACAUAAAUAAACAAUUAAAUAAAUUAGAAAUUAAAUUAAAUUAGAAAUUAAAUUCAAAUUUUGUAAACAGAAAUAAUAAGCCUUAGCCUUAGACUCAGUGAAUUUCGAUUUCUGAACUGAUCCUCGAAAAUUAGUUUUCUCCUCCAAACAAAAAGCUACUUAUAGCAGCUAGAACGUCCUAACUGUCAAUUCUUCCUCUCGUAGUUGAUUUCGGUACUACCUACAAACCAACCCUUAUUGAUGAUCUAAUCAGAAUACACGUGUUCGCAAUUCAAGAUUCCGAUAGCCUUACGUUUUGAAGAACCCAACUCGAAUUAACGGCCUCAACCGUGCUUGAUGUUUAAAUUUAAUCACUAUCUCCCUUGAUUUGUUCGCGAAAAUCUGAAUGCAGCACGGCCGACUCGUCUCUCCAAUUGUCCGCCAAAACAACUCCAACCCAACACGCUUUUUGAAUUGAAAUCGAGUUAACUUUAAGGAAUGAAUUUGUCAAUCCCGAUAGUUCGGAGAGAUGGUGAAUACUGAUUUGAAGAAUUUUUAGUGCGGAUACGUUUCUUACGAUUCCUAACUGGAAAGAAUACCGGCCUAAAGCUAAUUUAAAAUUAGUGAAGCCUGAAAUUAAUCAUACUUUGGUUGGUUAUAGAAGUGGAUUUGAAUGGAAAUGGUGGUAGGUGAAAGGGGAAGGGCUUGGGAAACAAUUAAGCUAAAACAUUGAAAUGAAAACAAAAGUUGGCAGAAUGCCUGCACUCUUACACGCAAAGUAAGAAAGAAAAUAAAAUGAUUUUUUUUCUAUUCAAUUGCCAAGUAAAUCAAGGUGUAUUUUUUCAAGUUCACCAUGGCACCUAUUUAUACAUAAAUAAUAUGCUAAAAUUAAGCUAGUCUCACCUACCCACUAAUUACAUGAAAUAAAUAUCAGAUUUCUUUUCUAAUUUUGGCUUUUAUAAAGUCAAAAAUCUUAUCAGUCCCUAAAUGACUCUAAAUUUCUGAUUCGACCCCUCUUCAAUUGCUUAUCCUUCAAUUUAAUCAUUUUCUGCUUGUUUUCAAAUUAAAACAUCUGAAUUUCAUUCCUGGCAAUAUUUAAACAUACAAUUCACCAAUUAGCAAAAAUUAAUUCAAGAACAAAUUGAUUUGAGUAGUAAAAUAUGCAAAAUAAAUAUACUAUCAUUAUAAUAAUUUUAUAUUCAAAUGGUUUAAUCUAACUACUUAUUUUGAAUUUCAUUGUCAUGAAAAUAUACAAUUUAUUAUGAUUAAUUUUAAAAUUAGUAUUUGGAACAUUGUAAGUAAGAUUAAGAUGAUCACAUGUCCAUUUAUUUAUUUAUAGAUUUUUAAAUAUAAUUUAAAGACCACUUGUUAUUAUUUAACUUUUGCUUGUGGAAUUUUUCUUUCUAUCAAACAAUAAUCCUUAAAAUCAUUAUCUAAAAAGGAAAAAAUAUUAAUAUUUAAAAGGAAUUUUAAUAAAAGUCAAUGCAAGUAUUAAGUCUUCUUUGAAACACAAAAAAACAUUUAAGUCGCGAAGAGCGACAACAACCUUUAAUUAAACAAAUAUAAUGAUAAGGAGAUAUAUAUCUGGUUUUCUUUUGGACGUAUAAUACUUGUCUACUUAAUUUACUUAGUUGAUUAUUUUAUUUAUAAAUUAAUAAAAAUGUUAAUAUUUUUAUUUCAAAUGAAACAUUAUAAUGUCAAAAUAUUUUAUAAAAAAUACUUUUUAUUGUUGUGUCCUGUCAUCCUUAUUUUUUUAAAAAUUAUCAUAUUACUGUGUUCAUAUCAUAUCGUACUCGUAUUACAUGUUUGUGUCCGUGCUUCGUAAAUAGUUUUUAAAUGUUAUUUUAGAAUAAUUAUAUAUGUCUUCAUUUAUUUUGCAUGAGUUUAAAAUAAUAAAAUUUAAAUUUUGAAUAUAAAUUCUAAUUAAUUUGCAUAAAAGAAUAUUUAACUAAAUUUAGAUUCAAAUCUAAAAUCUAAAUUUAAAUUUUAAUUAUCACAACAAUCAACUUAAAUUAAUUCAAAAUCUUAAAUUUGUUUCAUUUUGAAUGAAGUCUGGCUUAGCACAGUUGAAUAUCAAAGGUCUGUAAAAGUUGAAUCAUUAUAUAUGUGCUUCGAGUAAUUACUUAUUUCGCCUGAAUUGAAGCCCAAUUUUUUUUUUUUUUAGGAAUUUCGGGUCUCUUUAGUUACUUUUUGAAUCAUUAAAUAUUGCAAUUAUUUAAAUUUAUUUUUAUCAAAAAAAAUUUAGAAUAAAACUUCAUAAAUCAAAAAGAUCAUGAGAGAAGAGGGAGAGAGACCUAAUCCUAAUUCUUAGUUAUGUCUUUGAAAUAUUUUCAUAAAGGCAUGUGCUAAAACUUUUAGAUUCUAAAUAAGUUGGAUUGUUUCAAUUUUAUUUAUUUAAAAUCAAAACUACAUUUGUUUUUAAACAACAUCCAAUAAUAUAUUUGGUUCAUUUAACCAUUUAUUUUUAAACUAUAUUAUUUAAAAAAAAUCAAAUAAGAAUCACUAAACAACUUUAUAAAAUCAACAACACAUCCAAUAUUUACGGUGCAAAGAAACUAGAUAUGCCAACAACAAAAUAAUAUUGUCAACAUUCUCAUAUACGGCAACAAAAUUGUUCUAAAAGCAAAAGAAUGCUAAAUGAAUAAAAUUGUUUAUUAUUGUUUUGCCAUUAAUCUUAAGUUGGUGUAGGCUUAAUUUACGACUCUACAUCAAUAUUAUUAAUACUAAAAAUCUUAUCACACGUAUUUAGAAUAAAGUAUUUAAGAUAAUACACAAAAAUGAUAAAAAGUAUAAUUUAAAAUUAUUAAUAAUAAUAUAUUAAAUAUAUAUGAUAUUAAAAUAAAAAUAUUAGAAUUUUGAUAUACAAAAAUUUAUAUAGAAAUAUUUAUUAAAGUUUUACAUCAAGUUAAAAAAUUGAAAUUGGUAAACGUCCGCACUUCAAAAAUCAUUUUUGAUUUUAUCAUUGUUAAUAACUUUCUAUCGAUUUACAAAAAAUAAUAAUCAAAAUACACACAAUAUCUCACAAAAACAUUUUGUGUUAAAAUAAAGAUUUAGUUCUUGUUUUCGGAAUCGUAUCAAGUCGGUUUGAUAAAAAACUAUUAAUGUAUCGGUUUAAAGAGAAGUAAAAAUAUAAUUGACCCGUGAGCCUAUAUAAACUAGUUGAAUUAAUUUAAAAAUCAGUUAAAUUAAUGAUUGAAUCAAUUGAAUCAUAUUUUAUAAUUUUUAAUAUUUUUUUAGUAUCACAAAUUUUUAAUAAAUUAUUUAAUUUGAACUAGACGAAUCAAAAACAAAUGGUUUAACUAGUUUAGCCAAGGUUGUUUGAAUGGAACUAAAUCGAUUAGUUAUAUCAAUUAGAUUGGAAACCUAUAAGGGUGUUGAUUCAAAAAUAAAAUAUUGAAGCAGUUAAUUCGAGGAUUGAUACAAAUAGAUUGAACCAAAUAAAAAAUUAAUUAAGCUGAAUUUUAGUAUUUUUAUUUUAAUAAUUUAUUUAAUCAAUAAGAUUAAUUAGAACAACGAACCAAUGAUUUAAAUUUCAUCAUAAUCUAACUCUAAAAAUUGUGGAUUUGAGCGCUCCCAAAUUUUCCUUCGCCUUAUCUCUCUCUCUCUCUCUCUCUCUGCUCUUCAACAUCGUGUUUAGAUCCGUCCCUCCCAUCCUUGAAACAUUCCGUUUUUGACCCUUCUUCGUUGAAUCUAUCAAACAAAUUAGGGUUCCGAUCUGUUACCUGUUGUGUUCGUUUAAUUUUUUUUUUCUUUGCCUCAAAAUUUCAUCUUCAGAAAAAGAGAGAGAGAGAGAGAGAGUUUUCGAUUUUCCUUGAUUUUGCUUGAGAUUUAUGUUCUAAUCUGAAAUUCAUCACCUUAAUGAUUUGCUAUACCGGUUCGAUCUCCGUUACGAUUGCUUGCUUUUUGUAUCGGAUUUGGGGUUAAAUCCAAGCUUGCGUGUUUUUACAUUAAAUCAGUAACCAUCGGCUCAAACUCUACCCCUCUUUCUAUCUGGAAAAUUUUUACAUUAAAACAAACGGAGUUUGAAAGUUAAAAAUUGACAUUCCAUUGAGUUUAAGUUUGAAAGUUUGGCUCAACUCACCGAUUACACCCGCUUACCUGAAGUAGAAGCCCUCAUUACAUCUAUACAUCUGUGUGCGUGUGUUUUUCCGCUUCCUCUUCUUUCUUUUGGCCCUGUUUUUUUUCCUCUAAAAGCCUCACCUACAGCUUACUCCGUUCCCUGACAUUUGACAUUAAAAUUACACUGAAAAAGCUCACAUGUUCCCCAAACUUCAUAUAUUACUCAAGUUUCGAUUCCUUGUCUCCGCAUCGAACCGCCACUUUACACAGUCAGACUCUGUUUUACGAAUUACCGCCACCUACUGGACGAUCUGCCCAAACCAAGUUGAAAGCCCGAAUGAAGAAGCUAUAGAGCAUCCGAGAGGCUCCAUCGAUAUUUUCAAGCAAUGGGGUUGCUUUGAAAACGAUUUGUUGAAGAUCUUUUCACGCCAACCUUCUUUGCGCAACGCUCAAGCUACUCCCCUUUUAUCCAAACUCAACUUGCUGAGUAGCUUGGGACUCACCGGUUCCGACAUUGUCAAGAUGGUCAAUUGUCGUCCUCGUUUCUUUUGUUCUCGUAUCAAUAAUUGCUUCGACGAGGGGAUUGAGUUCCUCGUUAACCUGCUCGGGUCGCGAGAAAUGCUUCAUAAAGCACUUGUUAGGAACCCUUCACUCUUGACCUAUGAUUUUUACAAUACCAUGAAACCAGUCAUUGCAUUGUACGAAGAGAUUGACAUUAGUGGAAAUGAUUUGAUUGCUAUGCUCAUCUCCGUCCCACAUUGAUCCCAAGGACUUCUUUCAAUGAGGAGAAGAUGGAAUACAUAAAGAAAACAGGGGUUUCAAAAGGUUCCAAAAUGUACAAGUACAUUGUUUCACUCAUCGGAAUAUCGCGGAUCGAGACUAUACGUGAAAAGGUGACUAACUUGGAGAAAUUCGGAUGUUCAGAGGAAGAGAUUUGGAGUUUGUUGGGAAGUUCUCCUCUUAUUUUGACACUCUCAGUUGAUAAGGUUCAAAGGAACAUGACAUUUGUUUUGGGUAACCAUGAAGAUGAAGCUGUCUCCAAGAGUGGUGCUUGAGCACCCGUUUUUGUUGUUCAGCAACCUCGAAGCCGUAUUGAAACCGCGGAUAUCGUUGGCUCGGAAACUAAAGAAAAUGGAGCUUGAUCCGCAGAUUAAAGGACCGACCAUGUUGACGGCACUGAGGAUGACGGAAAAUCGAUUCUUGAAUGUGUUUAUUAAAUGCCAUCCGCAAGAUGUGGCAAAUGAACUGUUGGUGUUCUAUAAACAUGCCAAAGGUCUCAAGCCAUUGGCCGAAUCAUCGAAAAAAAUACUGCGUAAAGGAUUUCCAUUUUGAACAUUUUCGUUUGUUUGUUUGGUGCUGUCUUCAUUUUCCUUUUGUUCAUUCAUGUCAAGGGAUAUUUAGAUUAAAUUUUCAGAUUUAUAACUUUUAUUCUCGAAGGGAUAAUGUGAGACUCAAAAUUUUGGGAUAUAAAAGGGGAUGCCUCUUCGUGUUUCAUUGGUGUUCUCUCUCUGCUUAUAUCCCUUAUACUCCCCGUGAUGAAGAGGUGAAAUUUUUUCUAUGUAUGAUGGCUGGAGGGAAUAUAGAUUAUGGAACUCUACCAUUAUUAACUUUGUACGCUCAAUUGGCACCAUUGUUGUGGUACAAGUAGAAAAAUGUGGGUUAAAACGUGUUUAAAGGCGUAUUUUCUUUUUAUUAAGAGUUUAAAGGAGAUUAUGAUUUAUGAACAGUAAUUUUUAAGGUAAAUCUUAUUCUAUAUAUUUUGACCAAUGAUUAUUUUUAUCCUUAAUAUAAAUUUGUGUUAAUUUUGGUUUGGAUGAUGUUUAUUAUUUUUAUUAAUUACUUUUCAAUGCGGAUAAAAUCUUGCACCAAUUAAAAUUCAUAUAUUAUCAUUAAUAAAAGAUAAAUAAAUAAAUUAAAUCUUUUUAAAUGUCUUUAUUAAAUUAGUUUCUUAUUUAUAUUCAAAGUUUAUUAAAUAGUAUUAUUUUAUUUUAUAUAAUUGAUGUAAAGUAAUAUAUAGGGCAAAAUAAUAUAAAGCUAAAAUGAAGUGAAAUGUUUCUAACCUCAUACAAUAUUUCAACUUGUUAUAGUACGAGUAUCCAAUGAUUUACUUGACUCAUCAUUAGAGUUCUCACAUGAUGUUUCAAGAGGAAGUUGAUGGAAUGGCUUAGGAGGCAUUUUAAGGAGUUCAACAUCAGAGUCAAGCAUCUUCAAGACUUCACUCAUUGAAGGACAUGUCAACAACAAAACAAUAAUGCCAACACUCUCAAACGCAACAACAAAAUGUUUUCGAAAAGGAAGUAGGCAUCACACUUAGAGUAGUACAGAAAUACUUGGAUUGUAACCAUGAAAAACGAAAUAAGAUAUCCAACAUCCUCAUCACAAUGGAUUCUCCUCUGAUUCAUUAGUAGCCUCUGCAAUGUAAUAACACGAUUAAAAGUUAUUGUAGCAGACUCUUAUAAAUAUUAAAAAAUUAACUUGUAAAUGCAUCGAUCAUGUCUAAAUCUAAUCUAAGUCAAGGUUGAUCUAAACAUGAAAAUUCUAACCAACUCAUCUCAAUUGAGUCCAACUAAACCUAAACUAAAUUGACACAAAAAUCUAUUUAUAUAAUUUACUUUUAAUUUAUAUAUAAUUUUAGUUAUGAUUUAAAUUUAUACAUUUAAUAUUGAACAAAUAAUCAAAUUAAAGAAAAUUUAUAAUUAUGAACAAUAACUUAACACAUAGGUAAUUAAAGAAAAUACUAAUAUAUAUAUUUAUAUUUAUAUAUAAGGUAAAAUAAUAUAAAGCUAAAAAGUGAGAUAAUGAAGUACAAUGUUUCUAACCUUAUGCAAUAUUUGAACUCGCUAUAGUAACACUAUCCUAUGGUGUACUUGGCUCAUUAUUAGAGUUCUCACAAUUAUGAACCUCUAUUGAUGUUUCAAGAGGAAGUUGAUGGAAUGGCUUAGGAGGCAUCUCAAAGAGUUCAACAUCAGAUUCAAGUAUCUUCAAGAUUUUAUUCAUUGAAGGGCGAUCAGAAGGUAGUAAUUGUAUACACCAAAAAGCAAUUAUUAUCAUCUUUUUCACCAUUACUUUUUCAUUGUCAGAAAUAUCUCCGAACUCCAAGUCCUCUCCUUGAUCCAAUUGGUCAUAAAUCCAAGAUAAAAAAUAUAUUUGACUAGUGUGGUCAGCAAAUGCGUUCACAUUCUUUCUCCUUCCAACUAUUUCCAUCAAUAACAUUCCAAAACUAUAAACAUCGGCUUUGUAUAAGAUGCCUCAAUAUAAAGUGAUGAUUUUAUAGGUUUCGUGCAAUUCAUAACAUAAAUAAUGCUAACAUCUAACCUUCCAUCAUAAUAAUUACCAUAAGGAUAAAUAUAAGAAUAAGAAUAAGAAUCUACAGAAGUAAGAGGAUACGUUUGAAGAAUUUUUAGUGUGGAUACGUUUCUUACAAUUCCUGACUGGAAAGAAUACCAGCCUAAAGCUAAUUUAAAAUUAGUGAAGCCUGAAAUUAAUCAUACUUUGGUUGGUUAUAGAAGUGGAUUUGAAUGGAAAUAGUGGUAGGUGAAAGGGGAAGGGCUUGGAAAACAAUUAAGCUAAAACAUUGAAAUGGAAACAAAAGUUAGCGGAAUGACUGCACUCUUACACACAAAGUAAGAAAGAAAAUAAAAUGAUUUUUUUUCUAUUCAAUUGCCAAGCAAAUCAAGGUGUAUUUUUUCAAGUUCACCAUGGCACCUAUUUAUACAUAAAUAGUAUGCUAAAAUGUCUCACCUGCCCACUAAUUACAUGAAAUAAAUAUCAAAUUUCUUUUCUAAUUUUAGCUUUUAUAAAGUCAAAAAUCUUAUCAGUCCCUAAUGUCUCUAAAUUUCUGAUUUGACCCUUCUUCAAUUGCUUAUCCUUCAAUUUAAUCAUUUUCUGCUUGUUUUCGAAUUAAAGCAUCCGAAUUUCAUUCCUAACAAUAUUUAAACAUAAAAUUCACCAAUUAGCAGAAAUUAGUUCAAGAACAAAUUGAUUUGAGUACGUAAAAUAUGCAAAAUAAAUAUACUAUCAGUAUAAUAAUUUUAUAUUCAAAUGGUUUAAUCUAACUAAUUAUUUUGAAUUUCAUUGUCAUGAAAAUAUACAAUUUAUUAUGAUUAAUUUUAAAAUUAUUAUUUAGAACAUUGUAAGUAAGAUUAAGAUGAUCACAUGUCCAUUUAUUUAUUUAUAGAUUUUUAAAUAUAAUUUAAAGGCCACUUGUUAUUAUUUAACUUUUGCUUGUGGAAUUUUUCUUUCUAUCAAAUAAUAAUCUUUAAAAUCAUUAUCUAAAAAGGAAAAAAUAUUAAUAUUUAAAAGGAACAAAUCAAUGAAACUCCCUUUUUUUUUUUUCUUUUUUUCUUUUUUUUGAAUAAAAGUCAAUGCAAGUAUUAAGUCUUCUUUGAAAAACAAAAAAAACAUUUAAGUCGCUAAGAGCGACAACAACCUUUAAUUAAACAAAUAUAAUGAUAAGAAUAUAUAUAUAAUAUUAUUUGUCUGGUUUUCUUUUGGACGUAUAAUACUUGGCUACUUAAUUUACUUAUUUGAUUAUUUUAUUUAUAAAUUAAUAAAAAUGUUAAUAUUUUUAUUUCAAAUGAAACAUUAUAAUGUCAAAAUAUUUUAUAAAAAAUACUUUUUAUUGUUGUGUCCUGCAUCCUUAUUUUUUUUAAAAUUAUCAUAUCACUGUGUUCAUAUCAUAUCGUACCCGUAUUACAUGUUUGUGUCUGUGCUUCGUAAAUAGUUUUUAAAUGUUAUUUUAGAAUAAUUAUAUAUGUCUUCAUUUAUUUUGCAUGAGUUUAAAAUAAUAAAAUUUAAAUAUAGAAUAUAAAUUCUAAUUAGUUUGCAUACAAAAUUAUUUAACUAAAUUUAGAUUCAAAUCUAAAAUCUAAAUCUAAAUUUUAAUUAUCAUAACAAUCAACUUAAAUUAAUUCAAAAUCUUAAAUUUGUUUCAUUUUGAAUGAAGUCUGGCUUAGCACAGUUGAAUCAUUAUAUGUGUGCUUCGGGUAAUUAUUUAUUUCGCCUCAAUUGAAACCCACUUUUUUUUUUAGGAAUUUCGGGUCUCUUUAGUUAUUUUUUGAAUCAUUAGAUAUUGCAAUUAUUUAAAUUUAUUUUUAUCAAAAAAAUAGAAUAAAAGAUGAUGAGAGAAGAGGGAGAGAGACCUAAGUCACAAUUAAUCAGCCUUACUCAAAUAUACCUAAUCCUAAUUCUUAGUUAUGUCUUUGAAAUAUUUUCAUAAAGGCAUGUGCUAAAUAAAUUGGAUUGUCUCAAUUUUAUUUAUUUAAAAUCAAAACUACAUUUGUUUUUAAACAACAUCCAACAAUAUAUUUGAUUCAUCUAACCAUUUAUUUUUAAACUAUAUUUAUUUAAAAAGAAUCAAAUAGGAAUCACUAAACAACUUUAUAAAAUCGACAACACAUCCAAUAUUUACAGUACAAAGAAAUUAGAUAUAAUAUUGCCAACAUUCUCAUAUACGGCAACAAAAUUGUUCUAAAAACAAAUGAAUACUAAAUGAAUAAAAUUGUUUAUUAUUACUUUGCCAUCAAUCUUAAGUUGGUGUGUGGGCUUAAUUUAAGACUCUACAUCAAUAUUAUUAAUACUAAAAAUCUUAUCACACGUAUUUAGAAUAAAAUAUUUAAGAUAAUACACAAAAAUGAUGAAAAGUAUAAUUUAAAAUUAUUAAUAAUAUAUUAAAUAUAUACUAUAUUAAAAUAAAAAAAUAUUAGAAUUUUAAUAUACAAAAAUUUAUAUAGAAAUAUUUAUUAAAGUUUUACAUCAAGUUAAAAAAUUGAAAUUGGUAAACGUCCGCACUUCAAAAAUCAUUUUUGAUUUUAUCAUUGUUAAUAACUUUCUAUCGAUUUACAAAAAUAAUAAUCAAAAUACACACAAAUAUCUCACAAAAACAUUUUGUAUUAAAAUAAAGAUUUAAUUCUUGUUUUCGGAAUCGUAUCGGGUUGAUUUUAUCAAAAACCUAUUAAUGUAUCAGUUUAAAGAGACGUAAAAAUUUAAUUGACCCGUAAACCUGUAUAAACUAGUUGAAUCAAUUUAAAAAUCAGUUGAAUUAAUGAUUGAAUUAAUUGAAGCAUAUUUUAUAAUUUUUAAUAUUUUUUUAGUAUCACAAAUUUUUAAUAAAUUAUUUAAUUUGAACUAGACGAAUAAAAAAUAAAUGAUUUAACUAGUUUAGCCAAGGUUGUUUGAAUAGAACUAAAUCGACUGGUUAUAUCAAUUAGAUUGGCAACCUAUAAGGGUGUUGAUUCAAAAAUAAAAUAUUGAACCAGUUAAUUCGAGAAUUGAUAUAAAUAGAACCAAAUAAAAAAUUAAUUAAACUAAAUUUUAGUAUUUUUAUUUUAAUAAUUUAUUUAAUCAAUAAGAUUAAUUAGAACAAUGAACCAAUGAUUUAAAUUUCAUCAUAAUCUAACUCUAAAAAUUGUGGAUUUGAGCGCUCCCAAAUUUUCCUUCGCUUUCUCUCAGUCUCUCUCUGUUCUUCAACAUCGUGUUUAGAUCCGUCCCUCCCAGCCUUGAAAGAUUCCGUCUUUGACCCUUCUUCGUUGAAUCUAUCAAACAAAUUAGGGUUCCGAUCUGUUACCUGUUGUGUUCGUUUAAAAUUUUUUUUUCUUUGCCUCAAAAUUUCAUCUUCAGAAAAAGAGAGAGAGAGAGAGAGAGAGUUUUCGAUUUUCCUUGAUUUUGCUUGAGAUUUAUGUUCUAAUCUGAAAUCCAUUACCUUAAUGAUUUGCUAUAUCGGUUCGAUCUCCAUUACGAUUGCUUGCUUUUUGUAUCGGAUUUGGGGUUAAAUCCAAGCUUGCGUGUUUUUACAUUAAAUCAGUAACCAUCGGCUCAAACUCUACCCCUCUUUCUAUCUGGAAAAUUUUUACAUUAAAACAAACGGAGUUUGAAAGUUAAAAAUUGACAUUCCAUUGAGUUUAAGUUUGAAAGUUUGGCUCAACUCACCGGUUACACCCGCUUACAUGAAGUAGAAGCCCGUAUUACAUCAAUACAUCUGUGUGUGUGUUUUUUCCCGCUUCCUCUUCUUUCUUUUGGCCCUUUUUUUCCCUCUAAAAGCCGCACCUACAGCUUACUCCGUUCCCUGGCAUUUGCCAUUAAAAUUACACUGAAAAAGCUCACAUGUUCCCCAAACUUCAUAUAUUACUCAAGUUUCGAUUCCUUGUCUCCGCAUCGAACCGCCACUUUACACAGUCAAACUCUGUUUUACGAAUUACCGCCUGCGCCACCUAUUGGACGAUAUGCCCAAACCAAGUUGAAAGCCCGAAUGAAGAAGCUAUAGAGCAUCCGAGAGUCUCCAUCGAUAUUUUCAAGCAAUGGGGUUGCUGUGAAAACGAUUUGUUGAAGAUCUUUUCACGCCAACCUUCUUUGCGCAACGCUCAAGCUACUCCCCUUUUAUCCAAACUCAACUUGCUGAGUAGCUUGGGACUCACCGGUUCCGACAUUGUCAAGGUGGUCAAUUGUCGUCCUCGUUUCUUUUGUUCUCGUAUUGAGUUCCUCGUUAACCUGUUCGGGUCGCGAGAAAUGCUUCGUAAAGCACUUGUUAGGAACCCUUCCCCCUUGACCUAUGAUUUUCACUGUCGAAAUCAUUUUUUUAAAAACAAAAAUUUAGUUAUCGACUUUGAAAACAAAAAUUGGAGUCGCCACCGAUCCAUGAUUUAGGUGUGAUCGGCUCACCUUAAAAACAAAUUUGGUCUACAAAAUUUGAGAAAACAGGUUCGAGAGUCAGUUACGUACGAGGAAGGGUUAGCACCCUCGUAACGGCCAAAAUCGGUACCAAAUUGAUUGUUUAAUGUCUUGGUGUCAAAAAUUUGAAAAGAUUUUGAAUGAAAACUUUUAACUCAUGAAUGAAUUAAAAUGAUAAAACAUUUUGAUUUCAAAGAAAUAAAACAUUACACCCAGUAAGUUAGGCCACAAUAUUUUUAAAUCUUCAAAAUUAAGUUUGUCUUUUGAUUUUAAAACUCACAUAGUUAAAUCUAAGAAGGAUAUUCGGUUAUUUAGGUCGAAUGAAGAAAAUCGAAACCCAAUACGUUAGGGCACAAUUUCUCAAAAUUCCAAAUACCGAAUAUUGCCUUUUGUUUUAGAAAUUCUUAUUUCAAGAGGAUGAAAUGUCAUGACCAGUAAGUUAGGACCCGACAUCUUUGAAUUUCCGAGAAUAAGCUUUUAUUUGAAAUUUGUGUGAUCUUAUUGAAAAAUAAAUACUUGGCUUUCUAAAUUCGUCGAAAAAUAAUCGAAAUCCAAUACGUUAGGACACGAUUAUUUUCUCGAGAAUCAUGAAGGCCAAAUAUUUUAGAAAUUUAUAAAUAUGAUGACUUUAAUGCUUAACAAAAACAAAAUAUAUUUUCUUUAAAAGUAUGAUAAAAUGUUAGUGUAUAACAUGAAACCAUCAUUUUAAUUUAAAUUAUAUGUAUAUGUACUCACAAAAUAAAAUAAGAUAUAUAAGUAAAUUUUAAAAAUAUGUAUAUAUUAAAACAUGUAUAUACAAGUAUAUGUAUAUAAAAUAAUAAAAAAUAAAAAAAUAUAUAAAACAAAAAAAAACUUAUUAUAAUUUCUAAGAAAAUAUGUAUGUAUAUAUAUAUGUGAAAUGUAUGAAAAUAAGAUAAAAAUAUAAAAGUAUGCAUAUGUGUAUAUAUUUACAAAGAAAAACAAUAUAUAUAUAUAAAUAUAAUAUAUAAAUAAACUAAGAAAAUAUAUGUGUGUGUGAAAAUAUGUAUGUAUAUAAAUGUAUAUAUAAAAAAUGAAAUAUAUAACAAAAACGUAAGUAUAUAUAACCUAUAAAAACAAUAUGUAUGUAUAUAACAUAAAGAAGAUCUAUAUAUGUAUGAAUUAUAAAAUGGAAAAAUGUAUAUAUAUAUAUGUAAACUAUAUAUAAAAAACUAAGAAAAUAAUAUAAUAAUGAAAUAUAUAAAAUAUGCACAUGUAUUUUAAAAACAUUUAAAAUAUAUACAUAUAUUUAUUAUGAAACACAAACAUAUGCGUGUAUAUAUGUAUAAUAAUAAUAAUAAUAAUAAUAAUAAUAAUAAUAAUAACAGCUUAAUAACAAUAACAAUAUUAACAAACUAAUAUAUAAUCUAAUUUGUAAAAGCAAAUACAAUGGACUAAAUUUGAAUCAAAACAAAAUUAAAAACACAAAAUCCAAUUAAAACAGAGGAUGGAUUUGCAAAAUGCGUGCAACAUGGAGGGCCAAAAGGGAAAUUAUUCCCACCCUUCCAAAACGUUGUGCAGCAUGAGAUUAAAAUAAAACAAAUUUAAUAUGUCAUGGAAAAAUUUGAAAACAAAAAAAAAAACAAUGGUUUUGAAAUGAUGGAAAACAUGAAAGGGUUAAAGACGUAAAUAACCCAUCAAUGUUUAAAACCCAUUUUAAAAUCUAAUUAAAACCCCAUUUCAUUUUCAGCAACAGCAGCCACAAGGGCUGCUUCAUCUUCUCCUUUGCUCCUCACACCGAAAUCAAGCAACAACGUCAACGGCGCGCCUCUUCUGGUAAGAGUCUUCCCUCCUUCUCUUUAUUUUAUGUUUUGCACACCCAGAAAAAAGAAAAAAAACAAAGAAAUAUCGAAGAAAGCGAUAAAAAUUGAAGAUAAUCACCUUUCGAAAUUGAACUGCUAUGUUUUUAUUCCUUUUGUAUUUCGUUUUACACUGACUUCUUUCUCUCCUUUUUUUUGUUCAAUCCCCCCUUGUUACAAAAAUCAAUUCCUUUUUAUCUCCCUCUCUUCCCUUUUACCAUUUGCUGUCUGUACUGCCACUUAAAUCCAUUUUUCGCAGGUAUGGAGAUCGUGGAGGGCGACGUGGGUGAUGGACGGUUGCUGUAACGUGAGGAUGACGUGCGAUGCUAACUGCUGUUAGCCACUGCUUAGAGUUAGGCUGGGAUUUGGGUUAGUGACUUGGGCUUGUAAUGGGUUUGGGCUUUAGGCUUAGUUGAGUCCGGGUCAAAAAUUGGAUAUUUCGAUUAUUUUCUCGAGAAUCAUGAAGGCCAAGUAUUUAUUUUUCAAUAAGAUCAUACAAAUUUCAAAUAAAAGCUUAUUCUCGGGAAUUCAAAAAUGUCGGGUCCUAACUUACUGGUCAUGAAAUUUCGUCCUCUCGAAAUAAGAAUUUCUAAAACAAAAGGCAAUAUUCAGUAUUUGGGAUUUUGAGAAAUUGUGCCCUAACGUAUUGGGUUUCGAUUUUCUUCAUUCGACCUAAAUAACCGAAUAUCUUUAUUAGAUUUAACUAUGUGAGUUUUAAAAUCAAAAGACAAACUUAAUUUUGAAGAUUUAAAAAUAUUGUGCCCUAACUCACUGGGUGUAAUGUUUUAUUUCUUUGAAAUCAAAAUGUUUUAUCAUUUUAAUUCAUUAAUGAGUUAAAAGUUUUCAUUCAAAAUCUUUUCAAAUUUUUGACACCAAGACAUUAAACAAUCAAUUUGGUACCGAUUUUGGCCGUUACGAGGGUGCUAACCCUUCCUCGUGCGUAACUGACUCCCGAACCUGUUUUCUCAAAUUUCGUAGACCAAAUUUGUUUUUAAGGUGAGCCGAUCACACCUAAAUCAUGGAUCGGUGGCGACUCCAAUUUUUGUUUUCAAAGUCGAUAACUAAAUUUUUGUUUUUAAAAAAAUGGUUUCGACAUUCACAAUGCCAUGAAACUAGUCAUUGCAUUGUACGAAGAGAUUGGCAUUAGUGGAAAUGAUUUGAUUGCUAUGCUCAUCUCACGUCCCACAUUGAUCCCAACGACUUCUUUCAAUGAGGAGAAGAUGGAAUACAUAAAGAAAACAGGGGUUUCAAAAGGUUCCAAAAUGUACAAGUACAUUGUUUCACUCAUCGGAAUAUCGCGGAUCGAGACUAUACGUGAAAAGGUGACUAACUUGGAGAAAUUCGGAUGUUCAGAGGAAGAUAUUUGGAGUUUGUUGGGACGUUAUCCUCUUAUUUUGACAGUUAUUUUGAAACUCUCGGUUGAUAAGGUUCAAAGGAACAUGACCUUUGUUUUGGGAACCAUGAAGCUGUCUCCAAGAGUGGUGCUUGAGCACCCCUUUUUUUGUUGUUCAUCAACCUCGAAGCCGUAUCGAAACCGCGGAUAUCGUUGGCUAGGAAACUAAAGGAAAUGGAGCUUGAUCCGCAGAUUAAAGGACCGAUCAUGUUGACGGCAUGAGGAUGACGGAAAAUCGAUUCUUGAAUGUGUUUAUUAAAUGCCAUCCGCAAGAUGUAGCAAAUGAACUGUUGGAGUUCUAUAAACAUGCAAAAGGUCACAAGCCAUUGGCCGAAUCAUCGAAAAAAAUACUGCGUAAAGGAUUUCCAUUUUAAACAUUUUCGUUUGUUUGUUUAGUGCUGUCUUCGUUUUCUUUUUGUUCAUUCAUGCCAAGGGAUAUUUCGAUUAAAUUUUCAGAUUUAUAACUUUUAUUCUCAAAGGGAUAAUGUGAGACUCAAAAUUUUGGGAUAUAAAAAGGGAUGCCUCUUCGUGUUUCAUUGGUGUUCUCUCUCUGCUUAUAUUCCUUUUACUCCCCGUGAUGAAGAGUUGAAAUUUUUUCUAUGUAUGAUGGCUGGAGGGAAUAUAGAUUAUGGAACUCCACCAUUAUUAACUUUGUAGGCUCAAUUGGCACCAUUGUUGUGGUGCAACUAGAAAUAUGUGGGUUAAAACGUGUUUAAAGGCGUAUUUUCUUUUUAUUUAAGAGUUUAAAGGAGAUUAUAAUUUGUGAACAGUAAUUUUUUAAGGUAAAUCUUAUUCUAUAUAUUUUGACCGAUGAUUAUUUUUAUCCUUAAUAUAAAUUUGUGUUAAUUUUGGUUUGGAUGAUGUUUAUUAUUAUUUUUAAUUACUUUUCAAUGCGUUGCACCAAUUAAAAUAAAUUAAAUCUUUUUAAACGUCUUUUAUAAAUUAGUUUCUUAUUUAUUUUCAAAGUUUAUUAAAUAGUAUUAUUUAUUUUAUAUAAUUAAUGUAAAGUAAUAUAUGGGGCAAAAUAAUAUAAAGCUAAAAUGAAGUAAAAUGUUUCAAACCUCAUACAAUAUUUUAACUUGUUAUAGUACCAAUAUCCAAUGAUUUACUUGACUCAUCGUUAGAGUUCUCACAUGAUGUUUCAAGAGGAAGUUGAUGGAAUGGCUUAGGAGGCAUCUCAAGGAGUUCAACAUCAGAUUCAAGCAUCUUCAAGACUUUACUCAUUGAAGGACGAUCAGAAGGCAGUAAUUGUAUACACCAAAAGGCAGUUAUUAUCAUCUUCUUCACCAUUACUUUUUCAUCGUCAGAAACAUCUCCUAGCUCUAUGUCCUCUCCUUGAUCUAAUCGGUCAUAAAUCCAAGAUGGAAAAUAGAUCUGACUAGUGUGGUCAGCAAAUGCAUUCACAUUCUUUCUCCUUCCUACCAUUUCCAUCAGUAACAUUCCAAAACUAUAAACAUCGGCUUUGUAUGAGAUGCCUCCAAGAUUUUUGUAAACCAAUUCAGGAGCAAUAUAUCCUAUCGUUCCUCGUGCCGCAGUGAGAGAGACA
rnacentral:lncRNA from 1 species